UGGCGGACGGGUGAGUAACGCGUGGGUAACCUGCCUCACACUGGGGGACAACAGUUAGAAAUGACUGCUAAUACCGCAUAAGCGCACAGGACCGCGUGGUCUAGUGUGAAAAACUCCGGUGGUGUGAGAUGGACCCGCGUUUGAUUAGCUAGUUGGUGGGGUAACGGCCUACCAAGGCGACGAUCAAUAGCCGACCUGAGAGGGUGACCGGCCACAUUGGGACUGAGACACGGCCCAA
rnacentral:rRNA from 1 species